CCUACGGGUGGCAGCAGUGAGGAAUAUUGGUCAAUGGGCGGGAGCCUGAACCAGCCAAGUCGCGUGAGGGAAGACGGUCCUAUGGAUUGUAAACCUCUUUAGGCGGGGAGCAAUGCCGGGCACGCGUGCCCGGAGGGAGAGUACCCGCAGAAUAAGCAUCGGCUAACUCCGUGCCAGCAGCCGCGGGAAAACGGAGGAUGCGAGCGUUAUCCGGAUUUAUGGGGUUGAAAGGGUGCUGAGGCGGAUGUUUAAGUCAGCGGUAAAAUGUACGGGCUCAACCCGGGCCGGCCGUUGAAACUGGGGAUCUUGAGUGGGCGGGAAGUAUGCGGAAUGCGUGGUGUAGCGGUGAAAUGCAUAGAUAUCACGCAGAACUCCGAUUGCGAAGGCAGCAUACCGGCGCCCGACUGACGCUGAGGCACGAAAGCGUGGGGAUCGAUCAGGAUUAGAUACCCUAGUAGUC
rnacentral:rRNA from 1 species